UACGUAGGUGGCAAGCGUUGUCCGGAUUUACUGGGCGUAAAGAGUCGCGCAGGCGGUCGAUCAAGUCGAGUGUGAAAAGCCCCCGGCUCAACUGGGGAGGGUCAUUUCGAUACUGAUCGACUCGAAAGGGCAGGAGAGGGUAGUGGAAUUCCCGGUGUAGUGGUGAAAUGCGGUAGAUACUCGGGAGGAACACCAGUGGCGAAGGCGACUACCUGGCCUGUUCUUGACGCUGAGGCGCGAAAGCUAGGGGAGCAAACGGG
rnacentral:rRNA from 1 species